GUCCACGCUGUAAACGAUGGGCACUAGAUGCUGCGGGUAUUGACCCCUGCGGUGUCGUAGUUAACGCGUUAAGUGCCCCGCCUGGGGAGUACGGUCGCAAGAUUAAAACUCAAAGGAAUUGACGGGGCCCGCACAAGCGGUGGAGCAUGUGGUUUAAUUCGACGCAACGCGAAGAACCUUACCUGGGUUAGACAACAGUGGACAUCCUCAGAGAUGAGGCUUUCCCUUCGGGGACCGCUGGUUCAGGUGCUGCAUGGCUGUCGU
rnacentral:rRNA from 1 species